GGAAUGGGGAGCAGGGUGGUGGGACCAGUAAGGACCAGUUAAGGGGGUUGGGGGCACUUCAGCAUCUCCAUCAAGGUCAGAUCAGUACAGACCAAUACAGACCAGUAUAUACCAGUAUAGACCAGUAUAAACCAGGAUAGACCAGUAUAAACCAGUACGGACCAGUAUGGACCAGUACAGACCAGUAUAGACCAGUAUAGACCAAUAAAAACCAGUACGGACCAGUACGGACCAGUACAGACCAGUAUAGACCAGUAUAGAUUAGUAUAAAUCAGUAUGGACCAGUAUAGACCAGUAUAAAACAGUACGGGUCACUGGAAAGGGGAAUGGGGUGGUGGGACCAGUAAGGACCAGUACAGACCAGUAUAGACCAGUAUAAACCAGUAUAGACCAGUAUAAACCAGGAUAGACCAGUAUAAACCAGUAUAAACCAGUACGGGUCGCUGGAACGCGGAAUGGGGUGGUGGGACCACUAAGGACCAGUUAAAGCAG